UUGGCCUCGGAUCAGGUAGGGAUGCCCGCUGGCCUUAC
rnacentral:rRNA from 1 species